CUAGAAUGAAAGGGUAAACUGGAAAAGACUUUUUUAAGGUUAAAAAAUGAAGUUGACUUUUUAGUAAGAAGGCUAAAAUAACUCUUAAAGACAAGAAGACCCUAUAAAACUUUAUAUUUACUAUUUUAGGAAAGGAAAUAAAUAUUUUGCUGGGGCGGUAGGAAAAAUAACUUUUCUUAAUUUUAAAGACUUAAUGAGUCUUAAUACCUAAAAUUUUUAAAAUAAGAAUAAGUUACUUUAGGGAUAACAGCUUAAUUCACUUUAAAAGUUCUAAUUGACAAGUGAGUUUAUGACCUCGAUGUUGAAUUAAAAGUCCUCUUUAGCGC
rnacentral:rRNA from 1 species